UGAUUCUCCUGUCUCCCAUCUCAGUGUAGAGACACGGAGACUAUCACAUGGGGGAUCUGAACUCUGACCAUCAGGCCAUCAGGGCAAGCUCUUUUACCUACUGAGCCAUCUAUCUCCUUGGCCCAUAGUAGACUUUUUAAUGAUCCAGUUGAAGAGAAGAAAUUACAUAUUACCCAAAGAAAUUACUAAAACCUCACACAGAUUUGUGGAGGAGCUCUGUGACAGAAUAGCUUACCUAACUUGUGCCAAGGCCUGGGUUUGGUUACUAUCAAAUCAAACCCCAAAUCAGACGGACAACGAGACUGCACAAGGAUAAGCUGUCUCGUGUGGCACUGAUUUUCUAAAGUGUCUGUGUACACGAUAAGAGAAGAGGCACUUAGUCAAGAAGGGAGGUGCUGAGGGGUGGAGGCGGAGUUCAGUGAUAAUAUGCUUGCCUAGCAUGCAUGAGACCCUGGAUUCCAUUUCAGCAAAGGUUAAUGUGGGCCUGGGGAGGUGGUUGUGAGGCCUGGCGUAGUGCAGGGAUGGAUAGGUUCAUCCAUAGACCCUCUGCUGGAGGCAAGUAACCCAGUCAUUCUUGGACUCAGUCCCAGGGCCUCUAGAAUAAGGUCUACAGUUGUGAAGAUGGACUAGGGCUCAUGCUAUGGAUAUUUCAAGUCCAGCCCCCUGUAAGUCCCUAGGUUUGACCUCCAGUUUUGGGUGAAGGGUGUGAGUGUAGUGAGUCAGCAUAGAGAGCUUUGGCAUAUGCUUCCCUUUGCCUUCAUGUUAAAGAACAAACGGGAGUGUUCAAAACAGCCAGGGCUGCGCAGAGAAACCCUAUCUCAAAACAAACAAACAAACAAAACAAAAACCAGAAAACCAAACC
rnacentral:lncRNA from 1 species